rnacentral:rRNA from 1 species
UACAGAGGUCCCAAGCGUUGUUCGGAUUCAUUGGGCGUAAAGCGUGUGUAGGCGGGUCGUUAAGUACCUUGUGAAAUCCCACGGCUUAACCGUGGAACUGCUCGGUAUACUGGCGAUCUUGAGCCACUUAGGGGUCAGCGGAACAAAUGGUGGAGCGGUGAAAUGCGUAGAUAUCAUUUGGAACGCCAAUGGUGAAAAACAGCUGACUGGGAGUGUGCUGACGCUGAGACACGAAAGCCAGGGGGAGCG